rnacentral:tRNA from 1 species
AGUGAAAUGACCGACCUAAGGUAGCGGAUUGUAGCUCCGCCUAUGGGGAAACUUCCUCUUUUACUA